rnacentral:rRNA from 1 species
GUCCGUAGGCGGUGUGGCAAGUCGGUAGUGAAAUCUCUCGGCUUAACUGAGAGGCUGCUGCCGAAACUGCCAUGCUCGAGUGCGAGAGAGGCGAGUGGAAUUGCGGGUGUAGCGGUGAAAUGCGUAGAUAUCCGCAGGAACAUCCGAGGCGAAAGCGGCUCGCUGGAUCGCAACUGACGCUGAGGGACGAAAGCUAGGGGAGCAAACAGGAUUAGAUACCCUGGUAGUCCUAGCCCUAAACCAUCAGGACUUGGGGUUUGCCCUGUACGGGGCAAGUCCCGGAGCUAACGCGUUAAGUCCUGCGCCUGGGGAGUACGGUCGCAAGGCUGAA